UGAUCAGUGCAUUUUAAUGCACAUUCUUCUACUAUUGUACUAGUGUAUUCCUAUGGUUUAAUUUACUAUUUUCACUAUUUUAAGGUGUUUUUAUAUUUAAGUUUAUUUCUAACUCUAUUUUAUUUUCGCACUUAAUUUAUGAAUAAAUAGCACUUUGACACCCUUCCGGUCCGCAGGUCAUAACUGGAGUUACAAAUAUCAGAUUGAGGCGCGGGAAGAUGCGUUGGAAAGCUGAGAUCAAGAGCUACGACUUUCAUGUUGAGGCCAAAACCCAGUUCGGAGCGCAAGUGUGUCAAAUAACUGCGUUUAUGUUCCAGACGAAUUUAAUUCAGCACAACUUUAUAUUUUUCGGCCCAAUUGUUUUAAGGCCCGUUCCAUGUAUUAUUUAAACCGAAAAUAAGGCAGCUAGGGCGAGUCAUUCACUGUUCACGGAAAUAAGAAACCCUAGAGCAGCCACCACUUACAUGGAGAACUAAAUCU
rnacentral:lncRNA from 1 species